UACGUAGGGUGCAAGCGUUGUCCGGAAUUAUUGGGCGUAAAGAGCUCGUAGGCGGCCUGUUACGUCUGCUGUGAAAUCCCGGGGCUUAACCCCGGCGUGCAGUGGAUACGGGCAGGCUGGAGGCAGGCAGGGGAGAACGGAAUUCCGGUGUAGCGGUGAAAUGCGCAGAUAGUACGGCGAGGACACCGGUGCGAAGCGGUUCUCUGGCCUGUACUGACGCUGAGGAGCGAAAGCGUGGGGAGCGAACAG
rnacentral:rRNA from 1 species